rnacentral:rRNA from 1 species
AUGCUUGAAGUCGGUCUUGAUGACUGUAACUCACGUUUCCUCAGCAUGCUAAAAUGGCUCAAGUUAUUCAUCUGUAUGUUUUCCAAUGCAGAGCAGAUCGAGUGGCGUAAGGUGGUGUUGCUGUGGGACAUUGCAACUGCUCCCAGAUCGAUUGAAGCUUCGUUUGAAUGUUUUAGUUCAUCUAUGCUUUUGAUUAUAUUUCUACAGAAUAAUGGGGGUUAUACUUAUUCUCGACGGCCUUGCGGAGAGUAUUCUGAAUUGUAUUCAUCGCUUCCAAGUACCCGUUUAUAUUUCUUAUGA